CUUGUCACACACAGACUCCGUCUCACGCAGUUACAGAAAUUAGAAGUGUUGGACAUUAACUAUAACAGUUGCUGGUUGCAAAUAAGACAGCAUCACCCAGAUAUCAGUGUAGGACUUGAACUGUACUCGUCCAGACUUGGAGCAGAUAAGGUUUUCUUUAAGCCACCUGUGGUUCUCUUCUCUGUGGAAUCCAACACUUGGUACCCAGACAGUCUGAUAUGCUUCUGAUCAAUGCUGAAUAUCACUGGGAAGCAGCUACUGCACAAGUAGGCAUGACAGACGCUUUAAAGAGAUGUUGUUUCAUCAGUCCUGUUCUGAAGAGACCACUAGCAGUCAAAGGCAAAGGGGACUACGACUCUGUAAUGGGAUUUACCUAGCAGUUAUUCAGAACCAAGUGUCUCUGAUGCUGAAUGUUCAUACAACUUCUAACAUUAGACCACAUCUUUUGGUCUGGAGUCUGGAAUAAAAUUUUAGUCAUCCACUGCUGAGUUUGGGCCCAAGUAACCUCAUUUAUUUUCAUCCAGGCAAAGCUGUAAAAAAAAAUUCAGGAAUACUAUACAUUUAUAAUUACAUAUUUGCAGUGACACACCCACCAUUGCAUGUGGCAGUACCAUUUUUUUUUUUUUUUUAAGACUUUCUGGAGCUCAGGUGUUUUUUUUUUUCCCCUAAUACCAAUAGAAGAGCUAUUUGCUGAAAAAGCCUAUAAGGCAAACAUCAGCCCUGCAGAAACAACUGAAGGGGAAGAGACCCCCCUGAACUCUAUGAAAUAUUUACAAACCGCUUUAGGAGCCCUGGGAUGAAGUACUUUCAAGUGUAGGCAGAAAACAUAAUGGAUAUAAAAAACCUUUCUUAGCCCUUGGUGAGAUUUGUUUUGUAGACCUAGCUAUAGAUAUGAGAGAAUGCAUGAGGUCAUCCAGUCUGCUGCCUCCUCUUCCCAGAGAGAAGUGGUCCCUGUGCUAUGUUUUAUAACUCUUCACUCAGGCUAGCUCUGGCUGGCUCUGACUAAAGAGAGCCCUAACCCACCUCCUGGGAGUAUUCGCAAUUUUUCUAAAUAUUUUACCUUGUGCAGUUUUUCCCCAGUAUUCCACCCAGAACAAUUUAAUGUGGUACGUAUAAAGAUACUUCAGUGUAACGAUCAUGAUGCUGUUGAUUUCCUAUCUAUUGCCUUAGACAACCCUAAAUAAUUUCUCAACCAGUAUGGUGGUUAUGGCCCUCAAAUAUCUGUCUACCAUCAUGCUCCUCACCAUUUAAGCACACUAUAGCUGUGCUUUGCUCUUACUGAGCCAUCACAAGCAAGUUUUUUCGGAUGUUUUCAUGUCUAUUCCUUCUUCUAUGUACUCAAGACACGUUAUUACACUUGAGGAAAAGGACAAGGAAAAGUGAAAAGACUACAACAUCUGCUUCCAUGCUAUCCCAGCAUUUUAGGCAUGGAAAAAGACAUUCUAGAUAACCUCACCCACACACAGCAUUUAAUUCUUACGCCAGGGUUUAAGGUGUUUUUUCCCCACUUCUGCUUCCUCUUACAUCCUUAAUAAACCCUUUCUUCUUAUUAUUAGAACUCUAGGGUUUCCUAGGGUUUCCAAUUGUUGGUUGGACAGUUCAGAGUAACGAAGCUGCCUCUGGAAGAGGUUAGAUAGGAAGAGUUCCUGCACUCACAUCUCAGUGCCGAGAGGACAGAAAGCAUCCUUGAAGGGUUUUGUUUCCACGAUCUGCUCCCAAGGGACUGCACAAGAGUCACUGUCGAACAGCUAUGCAGGAGAACUGAGUUUAAAGGAACUAAUCUGGCAUCCAUGUAGUGGUCGUUUUCCUUGCAUAUUAUCCUUAGUGUUUUACGGAAAAAAAAAAGCCUUUCCCCAUCAAAGCAGUCUUUAAGAUUCAUGAAGCUUUUCUAAAGCAUAGACUGAUGAUUGUUGUUUUUUCAUUUUGUUUUAAAAACAAUCCUAAAAUGGCCUUUGAACUCGAAAUGGUAGAGGAUUAUGUACACACAUACUUUAAAAGUUAAAAAAAAUAUAAUUUAAUAAUAAAAACAGAUUUCUUAUUACAUACAUAUUUUUACUGUGUGAACACAGUAACUUGCCACAGCUUAUUUCAAGAGUUAAUGUCAUCAACUGUCUCAUGAAAGCAGCUCUCUGAAAUAAAGCUCUGAAAUGCACAGAGGUACAAGUCCUCCUACAGCCAAACUCAGCUGCUCUUCACAUGAGGUUCUCCUGGGGGUAAACUACCAUCCUAAAAGUAGCUUACUAUCCUGACACAUUGACUAAGUGACUGUUAUUGAUUUUACUGAAGGAAAUGCAGACAAGAUGAAACAUUUGCCAAAAACCAUAGCACAACUCAGUAACAGGUGCGUUUCACACACUGCUGUGAACUCAGUGCAUUGGUUUAUUAAGCAGAAUAAACUUUGCAUUAGGAGAAACUUUUUUCAAGUUAAAUACUUCCCUGAGCAGAGCACAUAUACCUGUAUUAUAGCACACUAGUAAAUUAAGCAGCAAACCACACUGCUUUUCUUCCUUCCACCAUUACAAAACAUGGUCUUAUGCAAGUUGGCUUCUGUCUGUCUGCAAGACUUUCAGUAAUAAGGUCUAGCAAUAGCUGCACUCCCUAUAGGAUACGUGGCAGCUGGGUCAGCCUGUUCACAAAAUAACUUGUCAUUAUCAGGGUAGUUCUCUGCAGCUACUACUAUAUUAUACCAGAAUUUAAUUAAAUACAGACAUAUUAGCACUAUAAAAUAAGGAAGUACAAAACCAACUGUCAUGGUCAGUAAUUCCUUCAGCAUUUCCUUGCAUGACGCAAAGAGUAGUACACGUUAGAAGUUGGGGACCUUAUUUUCUAAUGCCAAUACCUGCUUAAACUCAGGACUGCUAUUCCUGUCACAAUCCAAAUGCAGCCAGGGCACCUAGGCUGGUCUGCGGGGUACAGCACGCAACACAGGCUUCACUUACACUGCAGUUGACUUCACAUUACAUUUCCUCUGUCUGCUUUUGCUCACCUUUAAUAGAGGGCAGCAGCAACACUUAAUUAACCUGUUCAGGAUUCAGAAGAGGUUAGGGGGUUGACUCUCAGUUACUCCCUCAGAGAUCACUUAACUGGAUUUAUUCCGAUCAAGAAUUAAAACAUCCACCUAAACAUAUGCCAGUCAGCUCAUAACCACAGGAAAAAGUGAUUCUUUCUAACGAAACACAGCAGAGUUUGAAUGGUGAAAAGAAUCAUUAUAAAGGGAAAGGAAAAAAUAAAAUUGAGCUUUAUUAUUUGUGCAUAAAAUGGAUACGACACUAUACUGGUAGCUGUAAAAAGUUGCAUUUUCUUCCUUACUCCUCCAAAUACAGUUGAAACUCUACUUCCCUUUCUAAAUACACACACUGUGUUACUACUACUACUCAGCAUGAUGUUUGAAGACUGAAUUCCUAUUUGUGAAGGUCCUGAUAAUCACAAAAUUAACUCUUCUUCAGGGCAACAUCAAUCACUAAAUGACAGAGCAUCUGUUAGAAGCUAGGCAGCAAAGUGCCUAUUUCUAUCCCUCCUGGAGUGGGGCAAGCUGUAUUUUCUGGAACAGAACAGUUACGCUCCCAGCAAGCAAUGGAUUAUCUUAAUAUUGUGAUAAACUCCAAAAAAUGCUGAAGCAUCAUUAUUUUAAGGCAGUCUUAGAGGAAGGGAAACAACCAUUUUUGAAAAUGUAGUUCUAGAGAAUUAAUACCACAGAAGAAAAAACAUGAACGAUUAGGCAGGGGAGCUAUUUUUGUACUCAUACUUUUUUUUUUAAGUUAUGAUAUCUUUAAAAUGACUUCAUUCCACCCACUUUGCUCUUGUUAACACUGCAAAGUCAUUGUGAAAGCCAGUAAGUCAUUGUCCACAUUUGUUUCACAGCUACUACUCUGAGUUUCUUUCCCUUCUUGGAUACGCUGCUGUCAGUGUCUUCCCAAAAUAGAUUCCCAGUGUGAUGCUUUGAUUCUAAGAGUGUGUUUGCUCUGUCGGGUUGCAAAGGGGACCUAUAAUCUAUAAUAUAGAUGACCAGCCAAAGAAGCCUUUCACUUUCAUGUGCAUGACAGGACCUCCUCCCAAUCCAAGAGCCAGGUGACUUGAGUGGACAAGGAACAGAUCUGAUCCCCAUGCUUAAUUAACAUUACACUGCCGAGCCCACACCUGCAUCUAGCACGGUGGCACAUGAAGACACAGAAUGCCUGUAGCAUCCACUGCUCUCCCUGUAGAUGCUCAGUUCUUAAGCAGGCUAAAUAUGGAUUCAGAAGGAUAAGCAUGGCUCAUCUAUCAGGCUGUGUCAGUAUUUUAUAAACCAUUAUACAUACCCACAUGAACAGGUCUCCCUGCACCCUCAGAGUUAAAGGUUGUAUAUACUCACUGUAGCAAGACUAUAAACCAUUUUUUGAUGCAUUCACUCUUCCUCUGGCACACUGAUACUAUUAAAGCUUUAAGUGUUUCACAUGAACACUUUACUACAGGUACCAGCAGUCCACAGCUGCUGCAAUAAUUCAGCUGUGGAGCCUGAGAACUAGUCCCUCUAACCAAACAAACCAACAGAGCAGCUCCACCCACUCACAGACACAGCAAGAAACAAAGCAUCAUGAAGCAACCAUACUUUCUCCUCAGGAGAUUCCCUCUCCCACCUAACACCUCCCUUCACGAUGUGCUCUCCUUCCUGAACAGGAAUUGCAGGCAACCAGACCGCUUCCCCUCAGCUGUAUGCCUGAGAGCUGGGAACAAAGCACUUCUCCAAGGGCCCAUCACGGGCUCUGCAGACUUCAGUACCAGCACAUUGGUUUGGUGUACUCUGAACUACAGACCUCUCUCUGUGAAAAAGCUGUCUUCCCUUUCGCACAAGGUCAGAGUAAGAACUAUUUCUAAAUAACCAGUUGCUGAGAACUACAUCUGAACUAUUUCUCACAGAAAGCUGUAAUCAUUCAGACAGAAAGAAAAAACUGUAACAAAGCUCGCAGCCACCCCUUUCCCACCUCCAGUUCUGCUCCCAUCCCAUAAGCUGAGAGAUUACCUGUAGAGACCAAAGUAGCGGAGUUUCUUCAUGAGGGCAUAGUAGGUGUUG